rnacentral:rRNA from 1 species
GGUGUUUAACAAAGGGAAGCGAAACCGCGAGGUCAAGCAAAUCCCAAAAAUAACGUCCCAGUUCGGACUGUAGUCUGCAACCCGACUACACGAAGCCGGAAUCGCUAGUAAUCGCGAAUCAGAAUGUCGCGGUGAAUACGUUCCCGGGUCUUGUACACACCGCCCGUCACACCAUGGGAGUCGGAAAUGCCCGAAGUCAGUGACCCAACCGCAAGGAGGGAGCUGCCGAAGGCAGGUCCGGUAACUGGGGUGAAGUCGUAACAAGGUAUC